GGCGGCUUAGCUCAGUUGGUAGAGCAGCGGAAUCAUAAUCCGUCGGUCGGGGGUCCGAGUCCCUCAGCCGCCACCA
rnacentral:tRNA from 1 species